AUUGAACGCUGGCGGCAGGCCUAACACAUGCAAGUCGAGCGAGCGGCGGACGGGUGAGUAAUGUAUGGGGACUGCCCGAUAGAGGGGGAUAACUACUGGAAACGGUAGCUAAUACCGCAUACUAUCGGAUAACCCAUAUGGGAUUAGCUAGUAGGUGAGUUAAUGGCUCACCUAGGCGACGAUCACUAGCUGGUCUGUGAGGAUGAGCAGCCAAACUGGGACUGGGACACGGCCCAGACGCCUACGGAUGCAGCAGUGGGGAAUAUUGCACAAUGGGCGAAAGCCUGAUGCAGCCAUGCCGCGUGUAUGAAGAAGGCCCUAGGGUUGUAAAGUACUUUCAGUCGGGAGGCGUUACCGACAGAAGAAGCACCGGCUAACUCCGUGCCAGCAGCCGCGGUAAUUC
rnacentral:rRNA from 1 species